rnacentral:rRNA from 1 species
UACAGAGGUCCCAAGCGUUGUUCGGAUUCACUGGGCGUAAAGGGUGCGUAGGCGGUCGGGUAAGUCUGAUGUGAAAUCUCACAGCUUAACUGUGAAACUGCAUUGGAUACUAUCCGGCUAGAGGAAUGGAGGGGAGACUGGAAUACUUGGUGUAGCAGUGAAAUGCGUAGAUAUCAAGUGGAACACCAGUGGCGAAGGCGACUUUCUGGACUGUAACUGACGCUGAGGCGCGAAAGCGUGGGGAGCAAACAGG